rnacentral:rRNA from 1 species
UACGUAGGUGGCAAGCGUUUGUCCGGAUUUAUUGGGUUUAAAGGGUGCGUAGGCGGUUCUAUAAGUCAGUGGUGAAAUCCGGCAGCUCAACUGUCGAUGUGCCAUUGAUACUGCAGAACUUGAGUACAGACGAGGUAGGCGGAAUUGACGGUGUAGCGGUGAAAUGCUUAGAUAUCGUCAAGAACACCGAUAGCGAAGGCAGCUUACUAGACUGUAACUGACGCUGAUGCACGAAAGUGUGGGGAUCAAACAGG